AGAGUUUGAUCAUGGCUCAGAUUGAACGCUGGCGGUAUGCUUAACACAUGCAAGUCGAACGGUAACAGGAUUAGCUUGCUAAUCGCUGACGAGUGGCGGACGGGUGAGUAACGCGUAGGGAUCUGCCUGACAAUGGGGGAUAGCCCGGUGAAAACCGGAUUAAUACCGCAUACGUCCUAAGGGAGAAAGGGUGCCACUUCUUGAAAGCACUCGUUGUCAGAUGAACCUGCGUUGGAUUAGCUAGUUGGUAGGGUAAUGGCCUACCAAGGCGACGAUCCAUAGCUGGUCUGAGAGGAUGAUCAGCCACACUGGGACUGAGACACGGCCCAGACUCCUACGGGAGGCAGCAGUGGGGAAUAUUGCGC
rnacentral:rRNA from 1 species